AAUGAACGUUGGCGGCAUGGAUUAGGCAUGCAAGUCGAGCGAGAAGGGUUUUGAAGCUUGCUUUAGAACUCGGACAGCGGCGAAAGGGAGAGUAACGCGUAGUUAUGUGCCCUAGGGUCCGGAAUAGCCACGGGAAACUGUGGGUAAUGCCGGAUAACAUCCCCGGAUCAAAGGUGUGAUUCCGCCCUAGGAGCAGACUGCGUCCUACUAGCUAGUUGGUGGGGUAAUGGCCCACCAAGGCAAUGAUGGGUAGCGGGUGUGAGAGCAUGACCCGUCUCACUGGGACUGAGACACUGCCCAGACACCUACGGGUGGCUGCAGUCGAGAAUCUUCGGCAAUGGGCGAAAGCCUGACCGAGCGAUGCCGCGUGCGGGAUGAAGGCCCUCGGGUUGUAAACCGCUGCCGUAGGGGAGGAAGGUUCCGUGAAGAGCGGAAUUUGACCUAUCCUAGGAGGAAGUACGGGCUAAGUUCGUGCCAGCCGCCGCGGUAA
rnacentral:rRNA from 1 species